rnacentral:rRNA from 1 species
AGUGAACGCUGGCGGUAGGCCUAACACAUGCAAGUCGAACGGCAGCACAGUAAGAGCUUGCGCUUACGGGUGGCGAGUGGCGAACGGGGGAGAAAUACAUCGGAAUCUACUUUUUCUUAGGUGAUAACGUAGGGAAACUUACGCUAAUACCGCAUACGACCCACGUGUGAAAGCAGCGGAUCUUCGGACCUUGCGCGAGUGAAGGAGCCGAUGUCGGAUUAGCUAGUUGGCGGGGUAAAGGCCCACCAAGGCGACGAUCCGUAGCUGGUCUGAGAGGAUGAUCAGUCACACUGGAACUGAGACACGGUCCAGACUCCUACGGGAGGCAGCAGUGGGGAAUAUUGGACAAUGGGCGCAAGCCUGAUCCAGCCAUACCGCGUGGGUGAAGAAGGUCUUCGGGUUGUAAAGCACUUUUGUUGGGAAAGAAAAGCAGCAGGUUAAUACCCCGCUGUUCUGACGGUACCAAAAGAAUAAGCACCGGCUAACUUCGUG